GGCAUUGUAGCUCAGUCGGUAAGAGCGGGCGCCUCGUAAGCGUCAGGUCGUGGGUUCGAGUCCCACCAUUGCCU
rnacentral:tRNA from 1 species